CCCCUAGACGUUCUGGGCUGCACGCGCGCUACAAUAAUACGCACAGCGAGUAUCACCGAGCUCGAAAGGGCAAGGUAAACAAUAGAAAAGGUACUGUAAUGGUUAUAGAUCCUUGUAAUUAUUGAUCUUCAACGAGGAAUUCCUAGUAAGUAUGUGUCAUCAUCACGCACUGAUUACGUCCCUGCCCUUUGUACACACCGCCCGUCGCUCCUACCGAUUGGGUGAGCCGAUGAAACUCUCGGAUGUAGUCUAUUCAUAGCCCGCAGAAGAGAUUUGAAUCGUAGCGCUUAGAGGAAGGAGAAGUCGUAACA
rnacentral:rRNA from 1 species